GUCUACGGCCAUGCCAUCCUGAAUGUGCCGAUCUCGUCUGAUCUCGGAAGUUAAGCAGGGUCAGGCUUGGUUAGGACUUGGAUGGGAGACCACCUAGGAAUACCAAGUGCUGUAGGUG
rnacentral:rRNA from 1 species